rnacentral:rRNA from 1 species
UACGAAGGGGGCUAGCGUUGCUCGGAAUCACUGGGCGUAAAGCGCACGUAGGCGGGUCUUUAAGUCGGAGGUGAAAUCCUGGAGCUCAACUCCAGAACUGCCUUCGAUACUGAGGAUCUCGAGUCCGGGAGAGGUGAGUGGAACUGCGAGUGUAGAGGUGAAAUUCGUAGAUAUUCGCAAGAACACCAGUGGCGAAGGCGGCUCACUGGCCCGAUACUGACGCUGAGGCGCGAAAGCGUGGGGAGCAAACAGG